AGUAAAAUGACUGAUUUAAGGUGAUAAAUUGUAAAUUUAUUUAUAAGAAAAUUUUCUUUUUUACUA
rnacentral:tRNA from 1 species